rnacentral:snRNA from 1 species
CAAUUUGAGGGUGAUCUGGCUGGGACAUCUGUCGUGCCCCAUUGAUUGCCAGGGUUGAUUCGGCUGAUCUGGCUGACGAGACAGGUGUCUGCUUCCUCCGUCACCGCUCCAUGUAUGUUUCUCCCCAGGCAACGUGCUGGGUGGAAGAGGACCACUUACCCAGACGGAGGAGGACCGUUCUUCCGUCAAGGGUAUAGGAGGAGCUCUUGGGCUCCCCGCUAGAACCUCCAAACAAACUUUCACAGUCCAUUAUUAGAAGCUUUAAAAAAAGAGAAAGGAGACAAUUAAACGAAAACCAGGAUUCUCAAUCU